rnacentral:rRNA from 1 species
UACGUAGGGGGCAAGCGUUGUCCGGAUUUAUUGGGCGUAAAGAGCGUGUAGGCGGUCAGGUAGGUCCGUUGUGAAAACUCGAGGCUCAACCUCGAGACGCCGAUGGAAACCAUCUGACUAGAGUCCGGAAGAGGAGAGUGGAAUUCCUGGUGUAGCGGUGAAAUGCGCAGAUAUCAGGAAGAACACCCGUGGCGAAGGCGGCUCCUCUGGGACGGUACUGACGCUGAGACGCGAAAGCGUGGGGAGCGAACAGG